UACCAUGCAAGUCGAGCGGAUGAGAGGAGCUUGCUCCUGGAUUCAGCGGCGGACGGGUGAGUAAUGCCUAGGAAUCUGCCUGGUAGUGGGGGACAACGUUUCGAAAGGAACGCUAAUACCGCAUACGUCCUACGGGAGAAAGCAGGGGACCUUCGGGCCUUGCGCUAUCAGAUGAGCCUAGGUCGGAUUAGCUAGUUGGUGAGGUAAUGGCUCACCAAGGCGACGAUCCGUAACUGGUCUGAGAGGAUGAUCAGUCACACUGGAACUGAGACACGGUCCAGACUCCUACGGGAGGCAGCAGUGGGGAAUAUUGGACAAUGGGCGAAAGCCUGAUCCAGCCAUGCCGCGUGUGUGAAGAAGGUCUUCGGAUUGUAAAGCACUUUAAGUUGGGAGGAAGGGUUGUAGAUUAAUACUCUGCAAUUUUGACGUUACCGACAGAAUAAGCACCGGCUAACUCUGUGCCAGCAGCCGCGGUAAUACAGAGGGUGCAAGCGUUAAUCGGAAUUACUGGGCGUAAAGCGCGCGUAGGUGGUUUGUUAAGUUGGAUGUGAAAUCCCCGGGCUCAACCUGGGAACUGCAUCCAAAACUGGCAAGCUAGAGUAUGGUAGAGGGUGGUGGAAUUUCCUGUGUAGCGGUGAAAUGCGUAGAUAUAGGAAGGAACACCAGUGGCGAAGGCGACCACCUGGACUGAUACUGACACUGAGGUGCGAAAGCGUGAGGAGCAAACAGGAUUAGAUACCCUGGUAGUCCACGCCGUAAACGAUGUCAACUAGCCGUUGGGAGCCUUGAGCUCUUAGUGGCGCAGCUAACGCAUUAAGUUGACCGCCUGGGGAGUACGGCCGCAAGGUUAAAACUCAAAUGAAUUGACGGGGGCCCGCACAAGCGGUGGAGCAUGUGGUUUAAUUCGAAGCAACGCGAAGACCUUACCAGGCCUUGACAUCCAAUGAACUUUCCAGAGAUGGAUUGGUGCCUUCGGGAACAUUGAGACAGUG
rnacentral:rRNA from 1 species